CUCUGCGCCUGAUGUGUGACGAUGGUUGAGAGACAGUGCCUACAUGAGUCACUCCUGUCAGAAUGACCUCAGAGCAUGAUUCAGAGGGAACUCGGAGUCCAGGAGAGCUCUUGGAAUGAGAGAUGAAUCUGUCUCCUUCGGUGUGAUGCCUGCCACGAGACAGUCUUCCUGGAAAACAAACAAACACACAAACAAAAACUACUGCCUGGUGGCCCUCUUCAUCUGCAUUUUUCCCCCUCCAGAGGUUGCCUAGGAGGUUUGUGUAAUUGCCUUGUGCUCGGGAAGUGAAUCGUUCUUGAAAACUCAGCAGCCAGGAAUCUUGGUGGGGCCGGGAAAGCUCAGGGCAGCAUGUUUUUGGGGGCUCACGAAUCCUCAGGGAUGCAGAAGGGUCCACAAGUUUAACGCAUCAGCUGCUGUGGAGACCAUUCUUACUCCUUGACCUAGGAGUGGAUUCUAGGAGUGAGGCGGCAUCGGGUGACUUCUGGUUUCUGCUCUCCUCUUCUGACUGCGGGCCAAGGUUAGACAGGUUCUUUGGCUAUAAAGGUGCGAGCCGUUGCUCGUCUCCUUGUUGGAGAUGCGUGCAGCUCAGGAGGACCUCUGACCAGCUCAGCAGCCCUCAGACCUCGGUGGAAGGAAGCUCACCCCAGGGGUGGGGGGAGGGGUGCAAAAAAGUUGACUCUCUCCUAGAGACAAAAACCGUGCCUGUAGCCACCCCUCCAGGAGCCUCAUCGAAGGAGGGAGGUGUAUGAGGCAGGCUUCCAAAUCUCAGCCCUCCCACACCUCCCCAUCCCAAACCGAGUGUGUGUGUGUGUGUGUGUGUGUGUGUGUGUGUGAAAGAGAGAGAGGGAGGGAGGGAGGGAGGGAGUCAGGCCUAGUCACUAGGGAUGAAGAGGGGAAGACUGAAGAAAGAAGAGGAGAUGGGUAUUUUUGUUUGACAACUCUGAAACAAAGAGGUUAGAUCACUAGAAACUUCCUCGAAGUCCCUGGGAACGAGCUCAGGCCCGGAGAACUGAGGUUUAGUCCUUCUCUGGCUCCAGUCUGUUCCCCAACCAGGAUGAGCCCUCACCUCCUCCUGUCUCUGUUUUGUCACCUGUCCGCGGGACAACUAGAGCAGGUGUCUUUGGUCAUUUAUGGACGCGCAGGGUAGUGGUGGGCAGAGCUGGUCUGGGGAGAAAGAGUAACCUCAGAGGGUCCCGAGCCGGAGGACCGGAAGCUUGGAAAGUCAGAGAGGGAGGACGAGGGACAGAGAUGCAGGUGGAGAGAGGACCCCAGGGGGACUCUGACGUGACAGUAGACGCCCGAGGCAAUGCCAGGUGAUGAAGCCCACAGCCCACCAUGCCUGGUAGAUUCCAGAACAGAACCGCAGCUCCUUCUGUGGUUCAUCAGUUCCUUCUGAACAGUCUUGCACUGGAGAUGCUCCCGUCACAAGGAGCCAACCCCGGUAAGAUCUAGGGGCUGAGGGAGAUGGAGAGGAGGGCCGGGGGGAAACUCUGGGCACAGUGGACCAGCCGGGCUCACUGCCGGGGACAGGACUGGCGGAGGAGAGGGAUGGGCAAGGGGCUGCCAGUCCCAGCAUCUCACAGGUUGCACCCGGGGGAUUCCCUGGGAUGGGUUCAUGGGCAGGUGCCGGCCCUCAGGAGUGGGCGUGGGUGACGGUGACCCAAACAAGGCAGGCGGUGUUUGGAGGAGAUUUAGCGGAGCGGAGUAGUAGAGGCCAAGCCAGAGGCAGGAAUGCAGCCCCAGAACCUGGAGCCCCAGAGGAGGUGGAAGGUGUGACUUGGGGGAUGACAGCAGCCAGGGUCCAGAACUUUUGUCGCUAGGAAUUCCCCCGAGAGCUGCAAAGAAAAGCAAUGGGAAAGCAAGAUCCGCUUCUCCCCCUCUAGAAGGUGGAUUCUUGCGUCUUUUCUAAUCUGUGUCCUGCCGGAAAUAUUUAAAUUCUGGGUCUUUCCACCUGCUAUCCUAUCACACAGACACAUGGGAGUUCAUGGCAAAUUUUAGAGACAGGACCUUUUUACAAAUGAGGGAAUGAAACCUUUCAAUGCUGAGUGACCUUUUCAAUACAACUGGUAAGCACAGGGAGGUAUUGACCCUCAGGUGUUUUCAGGCGGUGGUGGUGGAGGUGGAGGUGUGUUUAACUGUACCUACCACGUGACGUUGUGUCAUAAAUCAGAGGUGACAUAGCCAAGCAGUCAAAACUGCAGGCUUUUGGAGACUGCGCGCCUGUGACUUUGGACAUAUAUCUUUCUCUCUGCCUCGGUUUCCUCAUCUGUAAACAAGGAUAACAAUAGCAAUUCUAAAAUGAGGAUCAUAAUAGUACCAUCUCAUACCCACAUGUAAAAUAUGCCUAACAUGGGGCAUAGCAUGUAUGAAACACUUAGUAAUUCAUUAUUAAUAUGUUAAUGUUUUAUUAACCAAACUUGCCCCAUUUGAAUUUCUUUAUGUUUGGAGUGGAAUUUUAAUUUUAUUAUCUCUUAUUUCCUCUGUUUAUCUCGGUUAAAAAUUUGAUUUUGACAUUUUAAAUUGUAAUGAUCACAUAGAGAUCAAAAAUUCAAAUAAUCAAAAUGUCUGUUUUCAAAAAUUUCCCUUUCCCUCCUGUUUCCUCUCCUUCCCAGUGUCAACUCCUGUCUGCAAAGCAGUAGCAACUGUAAAUGAUUUAUUUUUGUAUUUUCUGCCCAGGGAUUUUUGCAUAUCUAGGGCACUACCAAUGUAUAUCCCUCUGACCCACAAACUUUUUUACAUGAGCAGUAACUUACUCUCUAUGUUGUUCUUUCUUUUCUUUCUUAAAGUUAUGUCCAAACUCCUGAACAGCGAAUUUUCAUAAUUUUUUUCUUUUCUUUCUAUUGAAUUUUACAACCACCUUGUAUUUUGUUGCAUGAAUGUACCCUCCUGGUGGACAGGUAGGCUAGUGACAACCUUUUGUUAUUACAAAUGUGAUGGAAUAAAUGAACUUGCACAUGUUAUUCUGCAUGGGUAUAUCCACAAGAUGAAUCGAAGAGAUGUCAUCAUUCAAGCAGUGUGUUUACUUCCAAUUUUGAUAGCUACCUUUCGUCAAGUUGCCUUCUAUAAGGUUAUACAAAUUUAAAUUCCUGCUGGCAAUGCAUGAGAGUUUGAGUGCUUGCUGGAGUUCCCUGGGGGCUCAGUGGAUUAAGGAACUGGCAUUGUCAGUGCUGUGGCUCGGGUUGCUGCUGUGGGGUGGGUUAGAUCCCUGGCCUAGGAACAUUUGCAUGCAGCAAACACAGCCAGGAAAAAAAAAAAAAAGAGAGUUCCUGCUUCUCUUUAACUUUGCUAAAUAGGGAAAAAUUACAUUAAAAUUUUAAAUUGAUUUAGGGAAAUUUAUAUA